rnacentral:rRNA from 1 species
UACGUAGGGGUCGAGCGUUGUCCGGAGUUACUGGGCGUAAAGCGUGCGCAGGUGGCUCAUUGCGCCCGGCGUGAAAGCCCCCGGCUCAACCGGGGAGGGUCGUCGGGGACGGGUGAGCUUGAGGGUAUCAGGGGCUGGUGGAACUCCCGGUGUAGUGGUGAAAUGCGUAGAGAUCGGGAAGAACACCCGUGGCGAAGGCGGCCAGCUGGGAUACACCUGACACUGAGGCA